UGCAAAUGAUGUUUUUCUCACGAUGGUCUUCCAAGCCUUCUGGUUAUGACGACAACGCCUUAUGGCAUUACUGAUGCAACGAC
ensembl:snoRNA